UAAAAGAAGCACUUUAUUUUAGCUGGUACCCAGCGGCGGUCCCUAUGCAAGGUGCAAGAGGCGCGCCGAGCAUUAACAAGGUGGGAAUAUUUAAGGAAGA